ensembl:lncRNA
CUUUAGGUCCACAGCAAAACUGGGUGAAAAAUACAGAGACUUCCUGUAUAUCCCUGUCCCCACAGUACACAACCUCCCCCAUUAUCAACAUCUCCCAGCAGAGUGGUCAUAUUGGUUGCAAUUGAUGAGCCUAUAUUGAUUUAUCAUCAUGACCAAAAGUCCAAUAGUCUACAUUAAGGUUCGCUCUUGGCGUUGAACAGCGUUUGAGUUUUCAGACCACCAUGGCAUCAUACAAAAUAGCUCCCCUGCCCUAAAAACCCGUGCUGUGCCUUUUAAUCUCUCCUUCCUUCUAAAGCGUGGUAACCACUGGUGUUUUUAUUGUCUCCUCAGUUUUGCCUUUUCCACAAUGGCAUGCAGUUGGAAUCAUACAGUACAUGCCUUUACAGUGGACAUUUAAGCGGCUUCCAUGUCUUGGUUGUUGUAAAUAGUGUUCCAGUGAACACCGAGGUGAGUGUAUCUUUUCGAAUCAUGGCUUUCUCUGGUUGUAUGCCCAAGAGUAGGAUCGCAGGAUCAUAUGGCAACUCUAUUUUUAGUUUUUUAAGGAACCUCCAUACUGUUCUCUGUAGGGGUGGUACCAAUUUACAUUUCCACCAACAGUGCAAAGGGUUCCCUUUUCUCCACAUCCUCUCCAGCAUUCACUGUUGGUAGAUUUUUUGAUGAUGGCUAUUCUGACCAGUAUUGUGUUGAUUUGCACGUCUCUGACAGUUAGUCAUGUUGAGCAUUUUUAUAUGUGCUUUUUGACCAUCUGCAUGCCUUCUUUGGGGAAACUUCUAUUUCGAUUUUCUGCUUAUUUUUAUUGAGUUGUUUGAUUUUUUGUUAUUGAGCCAGAUGAGCCAUUUGUGUAUUUUGGAGAUUAAUCCCUUGUCAGUCGCUUCAUUUGCAAAUAUUUUCUCCUGUUCUGUGGGUUGUCUUUUCACUUUGCUUACGGUUUCCUUUGCUGUGCAAAAGCUUUUCCGUUUAAUUGGGUCCCAUUUGUUUAUUUCUGUUUUUAUUUCCAAUACUCUAGGAGGUGGAUCAAAAGAUCUUGCUUCAGUUUAUCUCAAAGAGUAUUCUGCCUAUGUUUUCCUCUAAGAGUUUUAAAGUAUCCAGACUCACAUUUAGGUUUUUAAUCCAUUUUGAGUUUAUUUUUGUAUAUGGUAUUAGAGAGUGUUCUAACUUUAUUAUUUUACCUGUAGAUGUCCAAUUUUCCCAGCACCUCUUAUUGAGGAAGCUCUUUUUGCCCUUGUAUAUUCUUGCCUCCUUUAUCAUAGAUUAGUAGACCAUAAAUGUGUGUGUUUAAUCUCUUUGCCCAUUUCUAAAUCAGAUUACUUUCUUGUUGUUGAGUUUUAAGAGUUCUUUGUAUAUUUUGGAUAAUAGUGCUUUAUCAAAUGGGUCUUUUGCAAAUAUUUUCUCCCAGUGUGUGAUUUGUCUUCUUACUCUGUUGACAGUGUUUUUGCAGAGCAAAAAUUUUUAAUUUUAAUGAAGACCAGCUUAUCAAUUUUUCCUUCAUGAAAUAUGCCUUUGGUGUUGUGUUUUAAAAGUCUUUGCCAUACCCAAGGUCAUCUAAGUCUUCUCAUAUGUUCUCUGGUAGAAGUUUUAUAGUUUUGCAUUUUAUAUCUAAAUCUAUGAUCUGUUUUGAAUUAAUUUUGUGAAACAUGUAAGGCUUGGGUUUAGAUGCAUGGCUUUUUUUGGAAAUAUGAAUAUAUAGUUUUAUUCCAGCACCAUUUAUUGAAAUAAUUAUCUCCAUUCCACUGUAUUGCCUUCACUCCUUUGUCAAAGAUGAGUUGACUGUAUUUGUGUGGGUCUACUUCUGGGCUCUCUAGUCUGUUCCACCGAUCUAUUUGUCUGUUCUUUCACCAAUUCCACACUGUCUUAAUUACUGUAGCUUUACAAUAAGCCUUGAGACGGGGUAGUGUCAGUCCUCCCACUUUGUUUUUCUCCUUUAAUAUUAGGUUGGCUACUCUGGAUCUUUUGUUUCUCUGUACAAACUUUAGAAUCAGCCUGUCAAUUUCCACAAAACAACUUGCUGGGAUUUUGACUAGAAUUGCAUUGAAUCUGUCAUUCACUUUAGGGAGAACUGACAUCUUGACAAUAUUGACUCUUCCUAUUCAUAAAUAUGUACUAUCUCUCCAUUUAUUUCAUUCAUCUUUAUAUCUUUCAUCAGAGGUUUGUAGUUUUCCUCCUGUGUAUUUUGUUAGAUUUAAAAGUGUUUUAUUUGGAAGAGUGUUCAUGUACACAAUGGUGUGCUUUUUAUUUCAAAUUCUACUUGUUCAUUCCUGGCAUAUAGGUUUUGUAUAUUAACCCUGUAUCCUGCAAUCUUGCUAUAAUGACUUAUUAGUUGCAAAAAAAAUUUUUGGUUGAUUCUUUCAGAUUUUCUACAUAGAAAACUAUGUCUUCUGAAAAGAAAAAUUUAUUUCUUCCUUCUCAGUUCCUCUAAGCACUUCUUUGAAGGCAUCACACAAGUUUUGAUAAGUUGUAAUUCCAUUUUCAUUUAGUCCAAAAUAUGUUUUAACUCUCUUGAGAUUUCUAUUUAACCUGUAUGUAAUUUAGAUUAUGUUGUUGCAUUUCCAAGUACGUUGAGAUUUUCCACCUAUCUUUCUGUUGUUGAUCUCUAGUUUAAUUUCACUGUGGUCUAAAACAGACAUUGCAUGAUUUCUACUCCUUGAAGUUUGUUAAGGUAUGUGUUAUGGCCCAGAAUGUGGUUUAUCUUGGUGAGUGUUUCCGUGAAGAUUGAGGAGGAAAUGUGUCUGCUCUUAGUCUCAUCUUUUUCAGCAAGUCUUUGAAUCCCACAUUCUUUGCUUCUGUGACUCUGAGUUCUGGUCCGCAUCACCAUCAGAUCUGGUAUACUCCAUCCUUACACUAACUAAGCCCAAGGUGAUUUAGAUUUAAGUCUUAGAUGCUUUGAAGAGUUUCACUGAUUUCUUUGCAGGUGGCAGUGAAAUUUCAUUACCAUCCAUGUGCUUGUCACCAGCAUACCCUCACCAACUACAUUCUUCUCUCUUUUACUUCCUGCAGCAAAUAGACAAGCUAUAAGUGUGAGUUGGGCGCCUUCUAGACAAAUGAGGUAUUACUAAAUAAGCACUAUACUCUCCUCUACAGUAAAAAAAAAAAAAAAUUUUUUAAAAAGCCCCAAGGAAAUAUAGUGUCUUUGACAGAAAAUAAGUGCAUGCCUACAUCUUGCAGAUUCAUCCAUGAACAGCUCAGUCAGCCCCAACAGGUUACUGACUACUUUUAACCUGAAUGCAGCUCUACCUUCCCUGAAGCAUGCAUCCAGGACCGCAGGCUAGCCAAAAAAAAAAAAAAAAUUGAUACUAAACAACACAGAACAUAAUUAAGGAGGCAAAAAGCUUAAACCAUAAUAACAUUUUCAUUCAACCACUUUAUUUCAACCAUAGCACCCUCUUCCUCUCUUACUGGAAAGAUAAUUCAUGAUAUUUGCCUUUUCUAACAAAAUAGCACAAUCACAAGGUCAAAAACAUUACUAUGGCCCUGUAGGUAAAAUGUGAGGUGAUUCUCUGAGCCAUUUCAUAAGAUAGAAAAUUAUUCUGGAAAGUUCAAUAAAUCAAAAGUCCUCAGCAGUGCCUAAACUUUAAUAGUCUUUUUUUAAUCUGAAUCUGUGACACUGAGGAGAAGUCUUAAUCUGGUUUGAGUGUUGCAUGUUCGUAGACAUCCAUGUUUCUGUGGACCCGGAAGUUCUCAUCCCUACCGCCACAUAGAACUGUCAGCAACCACUUACAU